GAUGAACGCUAGCGGGAGGCCUAACACAUGCAAGCCGAGCGGUAGAGUUCCUUCGGGGACUUGAGAGCGGCGUACGGGUGCGUAACACGUGUGCAACCUACCUUUAUCUGGGGGAUAGCCUUUCGAAAGGAAGAUGAAUACCCCAUAAUAUAAUGAUUGGCAUCAAUUAUUAUUGAAAACUCCGGUGGGUAGAGAUGGGCACGCGCAAGAUUAGAUAGUUGGUGAGGUAACGGCUCACCAAGUCAAUGAUCUUUAGGGGUCCUGAGAGGGAGAGCCCCCACACUGUGACCGAGACACGUGCCAGUCACCUACGGGAGGCAGCCGUGAGGGAUAUUGGACUAUGGGUGAAAGCCUGAUCCAGCCAUCCCGCGUGAAGGAUGACCGUCCUAUGGAUUGUAACCUUCUUUUGUACAGGGAUAAACCUACUCUCGGGAGGGUAGCUGACGGUACUGUACAAAUAAGCACCGGCUAACUCCGUG
rnacentral:rRNA from 1 species